rnacentral:rRNA from 1 species
GAGGAGCUUGCUCCUCUGGAUCAGUGGCGAACGGGUGAGUAACACGUGAGUAACCUGCCCAUGACUCUGGGAUAAGCGUUGGAAACGACGUCUAAUACCGGAUACGAGCUUCGGAGGCAUCUCCAGGAGCUGGAAAGAACUUCGGUCAUGGAUGGACUCGCGGCCUAUCAGCUAGUUGGUGAGGUAACGGCUCACCAAGGCGACGACGGGUAGCCGGCCUGAGAGGGUGACCGGCCACACUGGGACUGAGACACGGCCCAGACUCCUACGGGAGGCAGCAGUGGGGAAUAUUGCACAAUGGGCGCAAGCCUGAUGCAGCAACGCCGCGUGAGGGACGACGGCCUUCGGGUUGUAAACCUCUUUUAGUAGGGAAGAAGCGAAAGUGACGGUACCUGCAGAAAAAGCACCGGCUAACUACGUGCCAGCAGCCGCGGUAAUACGUAGGGUGCAAGCGUUAUCCGGAAUUAUUGGGCGUAAAGAGCUCGUAGGCGGUUUGUCGCGUCUGCUGUGAAAACUGGAGGCUCAACCUCCAGCUUGCAGUGGGUACGGGCAAACUAGAGUGCGGUAGGGGAGAUUGGAAUUCCUGGUGUAGCGGUGGAAUGCGCAGAUAUCAGGAGGAACACCGAUGGCGAAG